CACUCACAUCGGCAGUGUGAUGGCGUCGGGGUGGUGUGACUCCAUGCUGAAGGGGAUUUUUGGAAGGGUGGAGGAACGCUGACAUAGUUCUCACCAGAAUCCCACGGACGGUUACUGCUCUUCUGAACACGUACUGCAGGUGGAGAUAGUGAGACUGAGUCCCAGUACUGAACCUGUGGAGCGAGAGAUGUCCACCUGCAACGGCCCUGAAGACUUCUGUACUGAAUCUGACAUCAGGCCGAAACCACAUACAGAAGCAAAGAAAACAAAAUAUGGAUUAGAAUAAUUAUUAUAUCAUAAAAACAAGAGCAGAAAAUUGAUUUAGGGUUCUCACUUUUGUCUCUACAUACUAAAAAGAGAACUGCAUUGACCUACAGCAUGAAAGCAGACCUAUACAAUAAAUAUGGAAUACUU